GAUGAAGAACGUAGUGAAAUGCGAUACUUGGUGUGAAUUACAGAAUCCCGUGAACCAUCGAGUCUUUGAACGCAAGUUGCGCCCGAAGCCAUCAGGUUGAGGGCACGUCUGCCUGGGCGUCACACAUCGUUGCCCAAUGCCUAUUGCAGUGCAAUAGGAAUUUCUAGGGCGAAUGAUGGCUUCCCGUGAGCGUUGUUGCCUCGCGGUUGGUUGAAAAUCGAGUCCUUGGUAGGGUGUGCCAUGGUAGAUGGUGGUCGAGUUAGAACGAUACCGAUCAUGUGCAUGCUCCCCAAAAUAUGGCCUCUAUGACCCACACGCGUCUUUUGACGCUCAUGACGAGACCUCAGGUCAGGCGGGGCUACCCGCUGAAUUUAAGCAUAUCAAUAAGCGGAGGA
rnacentral:misc_RNA from 1 species